rnacentral:pre_miRNA from 1 species
AGUGGAAUUGCUGGCUCAUAUGGUAAUUCUGUGUUUAACUUUUUAAGGAACUGCCAGGCUGUUUUCCAAUGUGGCUGCACCAUUUAACACUCCCACCAGCAAU